rnacentral:misc_RNA from 1 species
GCUUGACUGAGCAUGUGCACGUCGUAUUGCUGCUUAUUUCAUUCAUUUUUCCUCCUGUGCACUUUUUAGUAGACACUUGGGAAUGAGAGGUUAUUGACCUUUUGACAUUGAAAACUGUUCAAUGAAAAGUCUGGGUGUCUAUGCUAUUUUUAUAAACACGGUCGCAUGUCUAUAGAAUGAUAUUGUAGGCUUUUAAGCCUUUAAAUGAUAUAUUACAACUUUCAACAACGGAUCUCUUGGCUCUCGCAUCGAUGAAGAACGCAGCGAAAUGCGAUAAGUAAUGUGAAUUGCAGAAUUCAGUGAAUCAUCGAAUCUUUGAACGCAUCUUGCGCUCCUUGGUAUUCUGAGGAGCAUGCCUGUUUGAGUGUCAUUAAGUAUCUCAAAAGUUCUUAUGCAUAUAUGCAUGGGUCUUUUGGACAUUGGGAGUUGCCGAUUACUGAUAAAGUGGUGGGCUCUUCUGAAAAGUAUUAGUUGAGGAGCUUUGCACUCUAUUGGUGUGAUAGACUAUCUAUGCCAGGAGAUGCAGUAUAAAGCCUCUGCUGUCUAACGG